rnacentral:lncRNA from 1 species
AAUCUUCGAUCUCUAGCAGCCCUCACUCCUCCUCUCAACCCACCCCCCUCUUCCUCCCUGGCUUGAGAACACCCCGAUCCUCAGUGGCCCUCACUCCUCCUUUCCCUUCUUCUCUCCGACGUGAGAACCCUCUCUGAUCCUCGACAGCCCUCCCUCUUUCAAAAAAUUUUAAGAUAUUUAUCAAAACUCAACUGACCAGAGAAGGUUCUUGCAUCGAAGAAGAAGAGGGAGGGGAGGCAAGUAG